UAAACAAUCUGUGAAAUAGUUAUUCAUUAUGAACCAUGGCUUGCGUAGCUAUUGGUUGUGAGAGUAGAAUGGGUGUUAUAAUGGAGAACGAUCAAACAAUGUCUCACCAUGGGUAAGUUAUCGACCACAUAAUACAUGUUUGUGUACAAGAAAUACAUUACCUGGUCUGGUUUUUGUAAAGUUUAUUGAGCCCUAAACACGAUGCAGACGCAUAUUUUCAGCAAAGCCGUCACAUUUGUACAAAUAAUUGAUUUCACAUUUUACGUUAAUCAGCUUUGACAGAUCAUGUACCCAAAGUAUUAUAAGUAGUGUUGUCCUUUGAUAUCGAUAACAUAAUAUUAUGUUUGAAUGUAACAUCUACAUGUUGCGUUAUUCUAUUCACGUUUAAUUUAUUUUUCGACCUGUUUCCGAUUUGGAUGAAGAUUACAUAAAGAUAUUGUAUUUUCCAGAUUUCCUAAAUAUCCUAAUUUACGAAACAAGAAAUUAAGAAACAAUUAGAUUCAGACCAUGAAACGAGAUAAUUCUCUCUUCUGAAGGACGCCUUCUCCUUAUUUAAGCCUGUGCUAAUUACAUUUCGAUGUAUCUUGCUUUCUAUCGAGCAGGAUACCAAACAAAAAUAUUACAUAGAGAUGCAGUACCAACAAUAUUCACUCACAUAUCUCACAUAAGGUAAAGUUAUAACGACCAGAGCCGACACUGUACACUUCUAAAGAAAGUGAACAAGAGGAAAUAUUUUUUUUAUCACCAAAAGUCGGAAUUGUUCAGUGCUUCGUAGUCAUUGUAUUCUAACUAUAUUGAAUAAAAAUCUUAUAAAGAA